rnacentral:lncRNA from 1 species
CCCCCCUCCCCCUCACCUCCUCUCACUCGGUCGGCAGAGCAGAAGUCUCUACCUUUAUUCAUUCAAUUCCUCUUCCGAAGGUCUCUCUCUGCUUCUCUUUCCGAUAAUGUGAUUUCUAUAUGUUUCUAUUCUUCUUUUUAUACUUUAAACUACCCGAUUAUGUUUCUGCUCCAUUCUCUUUCUCAACCCUAAUACCUCUUAUUUUGGGGCUUACAGAGACAAAGAGCUGCCGUUUUUCUUUUAAUGCUCAUUGUAAUAUUCUAUAUACACACCAAUACCCAACCUUUACAAACAAAAUUAUGGCUUUUUU